rnacentral:rRNA from 1 species
AGCGAACGCUGGCGGCAUGCCUAACACAUGCAAGUCGCACGGGGGGGCUUCGGCCUCCUACUGGCGGACGGGUCAGGUACCCGUAGGGUCAUGUCGAGGGGGGGGGGAUAACCGCGGGGGACUGCGGCUAAUACCGCAUGACGCUGCGGCGUGACAGCACCGACCAAAGGGGACAGGCGCCCGCCGAGGGGUCUGCGUCCGAUUAGCUGGUUGGCGGGGUAGCUGCCCAGCAAGGCGGCGAUCGGUAGCUGGUCUGAGAGGGUGGUCAGCCACACCGGGGGUGGGACACGGCGGGGACUCCCGCGGAAGGCAGCAGUGGGGAAUAUUGGACAAUGGGCGGAAGCAUGAUCCAGCAAGGCCGCGUGAGUGAAGAAGGUCUGCGGAAUGUAAAGCCCGUUCGGCGGGGACGAUGGUGACGGUACCCGCAGAAGAAGCCCCGGCUAACUUCGUG